UUCCAUUCUCCCAUUUUUAAUAAAACAAAUGCAUUUUGUAAACACAUAAUUGUACAUAUUUUAAUAAGCAGUAUUUGGCAUUUAUAUUAUCCCACACCUCGAUUAUAUCUACUGGUCAUAAAUACAAAAGAUGGUCAGCUAAGUAUUAGCAAGAGGCGCAAUGGCUGAGCAGUAAAGCGCUUGCUUCCGAACCGGGGAUCCUGGGAUCGAAUCUUGGUAAAGACAGGGAUUUGAAAAUUUCUGAUUUUUUUGGGCGCCCCUGAGUCCACCCAACUGUAUUGGUUACCUGACUUUAGUUCGGGAAAGUAAAGU